GGAUUGUGGGUCAGUGGUAGAGUGCUCCCCUAGCACGGGCGGGACCCGGGUUCGAUUUUCAGCACCA
rnacentral:tRNA from 1 species